AGUGAACGCUGGCGGCGUGCCUAACACAUGCAAGUCGAACGAGAACGGAAUAUAGCUUGCUAUAUUUGUCAGCUAAGUGGCGCACGGGUGAGUAAUGUAUAGAUAACCUGCCCUUAAGAAAGGAAUAACAGUUGGAAACGACUGCUAAUGCCCUAUAUGCCUUUAAUACAUAAGUAUGCAAGGGAAACGCUUUAGUGCUUAAGGAUGGGUCUGUAUGGUAUCAGCUUGUUGGUGAGGUAAUGGCUCACCAAGGCUAUGACGCCUAACUGGUUUGAGGGGAUGAUCAGGCACACUGGAACUGAGACACGGUCCAGACUCCUACGGGAGGCAGCAGUGGGGAAUAUUGCACAAUGGACGAAAGUCUGAUGCAGCAACGCCGCGUGGAGGAUGACACAUUUCGGUGCGUAAACUCCUUUUAUAUAGGAAGAUAAUGACGGUACUAUAUGAAUAAGCACCGGCUAACUCCGUGCCAGCAGCCGCGGUAA
rnacentral:rRNA from 1 species